GACAGAGGAUGCAAGCGUUAUCCGGAAUGAUUGGGCGUAAAGCGUCUGUAGGUGGCUUUUUAAGUCCGCCGUCAAAUCCCAGGGCUCGACCCUGGACAGGCGGUGGAAACUACCAAGCUGGAGUGACGGUAGGGGCAGAGGGAAUUUCCGGUGGAGCGGUGAAAUGCGGCAGAUAUCAGGAGGAACACCGGUGGCGAAGGCGGGUCUCUGGGCCGAUACUGACGCUGAGGAGCGAAAGCGUGGGGGAGCGAACAGG
rnacentral:rRNA from 1 species